rnacentral:rRNA from 1 species
AUACGGAGGGUGCAAGCGUUACUCGGAAUCACUGGGCGUAAAGCGCGCGCAGGCGGCUAUUUAAGUUGGAUGUGAAAGCCUACGGCUCCACUGUAGAACUGCAUCCAAAACUAUUUAGCUAGAGUGUGGGAGAGGAAGAUGGAAUUAGUUGUGUAGGGGUAAAAUCCGUAGAGAUAACUAGGAAUACCAAAAGCGAAGGCAAUCUUCUGGAACACUACUGACGCUGAGGCGCGAAAGCGUGGGGAGCAAACAGGAUUAGAAACCCUAGUAGUCC